CCUACGGGUGGCAGCAGUGGGGAAUAUUGCACAAUGGGGGAAACCCUGAUGCAGCAACGCCGCGUGAGUGAAGAAGUAUUUCGGUAUGUAAAGUUCUAUCAGCAGGGAAGAAGAUGACGGUAACUGAGUAAUAAGCCCCGGAUAACAACGUGCCAGCAGCCGCGGUAAUACGUAGGGGGCAAGCGUUAUCCGGAUUUACUGGGGGUAAAGGGGGCGUAGACGGUGGUACAAGGCCGAAGUGAAAUCCCGGGGGUCAAACCCGGGACUGCUUUGGAAACUGGCUGACUGGAGUGCUAGAGAGGCAAGCGGAAUUCCUAGUGUAGCGGUGAAAUGCGUAGAUAUUAGGAAGAACACCAGUGGCGAAGGCGGCUUGCUGGACAGUAACUGACGUUGAGGCUCGAAAGCGUGGGGAGCAAACAGGAGUAGAUACCCGAGUAGUC
rnacentral:rRNA from 1 species